UCUGCGGACGGCUCGUAAAUCAGUAAUGAUCUAUCUGAUUGUUGAGACCCAUUGGAUAACCGUGGGAAAUCUAGAGCUAAUACAUGCGUUGUAAUUAUAUGGUGGUCUUCGGGCUGCCGUAUAAAGCAUUUAUUGGUAGAAACCAACUAUUGGCAGGUGGCAACAUUUGUCAAUAUGGAUGAAUCUAGAUAACUUUGCUGAUCGUAGUGGCGUAAUAGCCGGCGACAUUUCAGUUGAACUUCUGCCCUAUCAAUUGGUUGGUAAGGUAGUGGCUUACCAAGGUUGUAACGGGUAACGGGGGAUCAGGGUUCGAUUCCGGAGAGGGAGCCUGAGAAACGGCUACCACAUCCAAGGAAGGCAGCAGGCGCGCAAAUUACCCAAUCCAGACAGUGGGAGGUGGCGACGAGAAUUACUGAGUGGUAGCCUUAAUGGUUAUCGACUUAGAAUGAACGUGAUUUAAGAAAUCCGUUGAGUAACAACUGGAGGGCAAGUCUGGUGCCAGCAGCCGCGGUAAUUCCAGCUCCAGUAGCGUACCUCAAAGUUGCUGCGUUUAAAACGCUCGUAGUUGGAUCACAUGGUUAGGUUUAGUGAAUUAGCGUGUUAGUACGCUAAAUCCUCAAGUGUAGAUGUGACGGUGUGUUAUCAUCGUUGCAGUUUAUAUAUUGUGGAGUACUGCACGUUGAUUGUUAGCUAAGCCUAACUGAUUGCGUAUGGGGAUGGCAGUUGACCUUAAGUGAGUCGACUGUUGUGUCCCAUGGAGUGUGCCUUGAAUAAAUCAGAGUGCUCAAAGCAGGCUUGAUGCCUGAAUGUUAACAGCAUGGAACGAACAAUUGUGGCAACAUGAUACUGUUUCAACUAGUAAUGUGCUUAUUUGUAUGUUACUAUGUUGGGGCAGUAUCAUAGCACCAACCACCAAUAUCGGAUGUUGGUUCCGUAUUGGGGUGAUGAUUAAGAGGAGCGGUUGGGGGCAUUGGUAUUUUGCCGCGAGAGGUGAAAUUCUUGGACCGGCAAAGGACUAACAAAUGCGAAGGCAUUUGCCUAGACCGUAUCCAUUAAUCAAGAACGAUAGUGGGAGGUUCGAAGACGAUCAGAUACCGUCCUAGUUCCCACCGUAAACUAUGCCGACUCGGGAUCAGUUUGGUGCUAUUACCAACGCUCGAAGUUGAUCCCCCUGGGAAACCUGAAGUUUUUCGGUUACGGGGGGAGUAUGGUUGCAAGGCUGAAACUUAAAGGAAUUGACGGAAGGGCACCACCAGGGGUGGAGCCUGCGGCUUAAUUUGACUCAACACGGGGAAACUCACCCGGUCCGGACAUCGAAAGGAUAGACAGAUUGAUAGAUCUUUCUUGAUACGGUGAUUGGUGGUGCAUGGCCGUUCUUAGUUCGUGGAGUGAUCUGUCAGGCCUAUCCCGGUAACGAACGAGACCAUAAUCUUCAUUUGAGAAGCAGCAGAAUUCGAUAGGCGGCUGCCAGUGUGGUAAAACACACUGGUACACUGUUUCUCGAGAGGCAGAAAGGUCUUUUGCUGCGUUUGCUUCACGGCGAAUGUAGUCGAAGCGCCUAGCUCCAUGCUGCCAAGCAGUGCAAGGCUGAAAGGUUGAGCACUGUAUCAUGAAGAGGCAACUGUGUAUAUAUCAAAGACAGAGGAA
rnacentral:rRNA from 1 species